rnacentral:ncRNA from 1 species
AAGAAAAGUUAUAUAGUACGAGAGGAACAAUAAGUGAUGACCUCUGGUGUAGCGAUUAAUUAUUCAAUUAUGUUGCAAAACUACGUCAUGAAUAAUAAAUGCUGAAAGCCUCUUAAGCAUGAAGUUAAUCUUAAUGAUAAACAAUUGAGGAAUACUACCUCUUUGAAGAGUGGGACUGUAAGAAUGAAGGUGUAUACCGACAUUUUGAGGUUACCAUUUCGUUCUG